GAAAUGCGAUAAGUAGUGUGAAUUGCAGAAUUCAGUGAAUCAUCGAAUCUUUGAACGCACAUUGCGCCCUUUGGUAUUCCAAAGGGCAUGCCUGUUCGAGCGUCAUUUGUACCCUCAAGCUUUGCUUGGUGUUGGGCGUCUUGUCUCCAGUUCGCUGGGGACUCGCCUUAAAGUUAUUGGCAGCCGGCCUACUGGUUUCGGAGCGCAGCACAAGUCGCGCUCUCUUCCAGCCAAGGUCAGCAUCCACAAAGCCUUUUUUCAACUUUUGACCUCGGAUCAGGUAGGGAUACCCGCUGAACUUAAGC
rnacentral:misc_RNA from 1 species